GCAUGUAGCUCAGUUGGCAGAGCAUUGAAAUAGUAUCCCAAAGGUCGCGGGUUUGACUCCCACCGUCGGGCC
rnacentral:tRNA from 1 species